AUACGGAGGGUACGAACGUUAAUCGGAAUUACUGGGCGUAAAGCGCACGUAGGCGGCGCACGCAGUCAGAGGUGAAAGGCCUGGGCUCAACCCAGGAACUGCCUUUGAUACUGGUGUGCUAGAGUCCGGGAGAGGGUAGCGGAAUUCCCAGUGUAGAGGUGAAAUUCGUAGAUAUUGGGAAGAACACCGGUUGCGAAGGCGGCUACCUGGAACGGUACUGACGCUGAGGUGCGAAAGCGUGGGGAGCAAACAGGAUUAGAAACCCCAGUAGUCC
rnacentral:rRNA from 1 species